GAGUUCAAGAGUACGUGAAACCGUCUAGAGGUAAGCGGGUGGACCCGUCCAGUCGGCCCUCGGAAUUCAGCUUUUGGACAGUCCGCUGGCGCAGUCCUGGGAUCCCUGGUGACUCGCUCGGCGUCAGAUCGGACUCCUGAGAGUGCACUUUCCGUGUUGGCAGAGCGUCACGACCGGUUUGGCGGCGGUGAUAAGGCCUCGGGGAAGGUAGGUCGUGGAGCUUCGGCCCUGCGACUGUUAUAGACCCGUGGAGAUGGCCGCUGCUAGACUGUGGAUCGACCCGUCGCAUGGCAGUGGGGCUGCCCGCGUGCGUUCGACUCGGAAGGACAGGCUCGCCGUGCUUCCGGACUGCGCUGCGUGGGCGGACCCCGCGAUAGCCAGCGAUGCGUUAGGGUCAGUGACACACGAUCGGUAAUCCACCCGGCCCGUCUUGAAACACGGACCAAGAAGUCCAACAUGUGCGCGAGUCAUUGGGUCCUACGAAACCUAAAGGCGUAAUGAAGGUGAAGGCAGGUCCGGCCUGCUGAGGUGAGAUCCCCGUCCUCGGGCGGGGCGCAUCACCGGCCCGUCUGUAAAGGCGGAGCAAGAGCGCACACGUUGGGACCCGAAAGAUGGUGAACUAUGCCUGAGCAGGAUGAAGCCAGAGGAAACUCUGGUGGAAGUCCGUAGCGAUUCUGACGUGCAAAUCGAUCGUCGAACUUGGGUAUAGGGGCGAAAGACUAAUCGAACCAUCUAGUAGCUGGUUCCCUCCGAAGUUUCCCUCAGGAUAGCUGGCGCUCGUCCUAACAGUUUUAUCCGGUAAAGCGAAUGAUUAGAGGCCUUGGGGACGAAACGUCCUCAACCUAUUCUCAAACUUUAAAUGGGUAAGGAGUCGGACUCGCUUGAUUGGAGUCCGGACUGGAAUGUGAGUGCCAAGUGGGCCACUUUUGGUAAGCAGAACUGGCGCUGUGGGAUGAACCAAACGUCCGGUUAAGGUGCCUAACACUGACGCUCAUGAGAUACCAUAAAAGGUGUUGGUUGAUAUAGACAGCAGGACGGUGGCCAUGGAAGUCGGAAUCCGCUAAGGAGUGUGUAACAACUCACCUGCCGAAUCAACCAGC
rnacentral:rRNA from 1 species